AUUGAACGCUGGCGGCAGGCCUAACACAUGCAAGUCGAGCGCGAAAGGCCUUCGGGCUGAGUAGAGCGGCGGACGGGUGAGUAACGCGUAGGAAUCUACCCGGUAGUGGGGGACAACUUGGGGAAACUCAAGCUAAUACCGCAUACGCCCUAUGGGGGAAAGCGGGGGACCUUCGGGCCUCGCGCUAUCGGAUGAGCCUGCGUAGGAUUAGCUAGUUGGUGAGGUAAAGGCUCACCAAGGCGACGAUCCUUAGCUGGGCUGAGAGGAUGAUCAGCCACACUGGGACUGAGACACGGCCCAGACGCCUACGGGAGGCAGCAGUGGGGAAUAUUGCGCAAUGGGGGCAACCCUGACGCAGCCAUGCCGCGUGUGUGAAGAAGGCCUUCGGGUUGUAAAGCACUUUCAAUGGGGAAGAAAAGCGUAGCGUUAAUAGCGUUGCGCCGUGACGUUACCCAUAGAAGAAGCACCGGCUAACUCCGUGCCAGCCGCCGCGGUAAAAC
rnacentral:rRNA from 1 species